AAGAUUGUAGUAGCUGCAAAUAAUGUGUAAAGAUCUAGAAGAAAUUAAGAGAUUACAAUUUUGGUUCAUAUUGGGAAGUGGAAGAAAAAUCAAAAAAAUGUUAUUGCGCAUGAGUCAACUAGUCUUAAGAGGAAAGUUAAUUAAUGAGGAUUUAUGAGGUUUUAAAUAGAAUGAUAGAUCUGGGACUUCCAAGAGAUUUGAGCGGUUGGGUGGUCAGCUUCAAGAGAGAGGGGUGGGGUGGGGGUGGGGGAGAACCCUAAAAAGUGGAAGAGUGAGCUGAGGGGA
rnacentral:lncRNA from 1 species